rnacentral:rRNA from 1 species
GACGAACGCUGGCGGCGUGCUUAACACAUGCAAGUCGUACGGUAAGGCCCUUUCGGGGGUACACGAGUGGCGAACGGGUGAGUAACACGUGAGUAACCUGCCCACAACUUUGGGAUAUCGCUAGGAAACUGGUGCUAAUACUGGAUAUGUGCUCCUGCUGCAUGGUGGGGGUUGGAAAGCUCCGGCGGUUGUGGAUGGACUCGUGGCCUAUCAGCUUGUUGGUGGGGUAGUGGCCUACCAAGGCGGCGACGGGUAGCCGGCCUGAGAGGGUGACCGGCCACAUUGGGACUGAGAUACGGCCCAGACUCCUACGGGAGGCAGCAGUGGGGAAUAUUGCACAAUGGGCGCAAGCCUGAUGCAGCAACGCCGCGUGCGGGAUGACGGCCUUCGGGUUGUAAACCGCUUUCAGCAGGGACGAAGCUUUUUGUGACGGUACCUGCAGAAGAAGCACCGGCUAACUACGUG